GAGCAAACUGGUAGCUGCAAGCCAGGGCGGUAGCCUU
rfam:Erwinia mallotivora strain BT-MARDI contig_69, whole genome shotgun sequence.